UUUUCCUACGGGGGGCAGCAGUAGGGAAUAUUGCUCAAUGGGGGAAACCCUGAAGCAGCAACGCCGCGUGGAGGAUGAAGGUUUUAGGAUUGUAAACUCCUUUUGUGAGAGAAGAUAAUGACGGUAUCUCACGAAUAAGCACCGGCUAACUCCGUGCCAGCAGCCGCGGUAAUACGGAGGGUGCAAGCGUUACUCGGAAUCACUGGGCGUAAAGAGUGCGCAGGCGGGCUUGUAAGUCAGAUGUGAAAUCCUGUAGCUUAACUACAGAACUGCAUUUGAAACUAUGAGUCU
rnacentral:rRNA from 1 species